UUAGAUAUGGGUCCAAUUUCAAGAAUACAAUUUGAUAUCAGGACAGUAAUUGUUACCUAUUAAUCCCAGUCCUAAACCCCAAUCGUGCAGCCACCUAAGCAAAUAGUGUGGCCCCAAAUUUUAAUUUAUUUACGACUACUGCCAUUAUAUACAAAUGGAAAGUAAAGGACGCUUAGCCAAAUCUGAUAUCUCAAAUCCCCCAAAUCGCAGAAAACCCAAAAGUCAUGCUCUGUCUUAGCCAAUUUUCAUUGAUUUUUUGUUUCCGUAAUGGGAAGAUUUGUGGGUUCCUUCUAAUAAAUCACGAUUACAUAUGGAAUCACCCGAUUUUUUUGGAUUAUCAGAAACUGUUUCGUCAAUUGAAAUAUCUGUAUCCCAGAGAAAUAUCAGUACUAUGUUUAAUCAUCAACUACAACCUGUUGUAUAGGUAAUUUCUGAAACUGUAACUAUGCUAUAGGUACGUUGUGGUAAAAUCCUAAACAUCAUGUGUUUUGAUUUGUGGCCGUCUGUUAUAGUUGUAGAGUGUUGUAGAGUGUUGUUGAAUGAUUAUUAACAACUUAAGAUUGUGAACGUUGUAGA